rnacentral:rRNA from 1 species
ACGGGAGGCAGCAGUGGGGAAUAUUGCGCAAUGGGGGCAACCCUGACGCAGCCAUGCCGCGUGAAUGAAGAAGGCCUUCGGGUUGUAAAGUUCUUUCGGUGAUGAGGAAGGUGGAUGUUUUAAUAGAGCAUACAAUUGACGUUAGUCACAGAAGAAGCACCGGCUAACUCCGUGCCAGCAGCCGCGGUAAUACGGAGGGUGCGAGCGUUAAUCGGAAUAACUGGGCGUAAAGGGCACGCAGGCGGACUUUUAAGUGAGGUGUGAAAUCCCCGGGCUUAACCUGGGAAUUGCAUUUCAGACUGGGGGUCUAGAGUACUUUAGGGAGGGGUAGAAUUCCACGUGUAGCGGUGAAAUGCGUAGAGAUGUGGAGGAAUACCGAAGGCGAAGGCAGCCCCUUGGGGAUGUACUGACGCUCAUGUGCGAAAGCGUGGGGAGCAAACAGGAUUAGAUACCCUGGUA